rnacentral:rRNA from 1 species
AGGACGAACGCUGGCGGCGUGCUUAACACAUGCAAGUCGAACGGUAAGGCCCCUUCGGGGGUACGACGAGUGGCGAACGGGUGAGUAACACGUGGGUAAUCUGCCCUGCACUUCGGGAUAAGCCUGGGAAACUGGGUCUAAUACCGGAUAUGAACUCCUGCCGCAUGGUGGGGGUUGGAAAGUUUUUCGGUGCAGGAUGAGCCCGCGGCCUAUCAGCUUGUUGGUGGGGUAAUGGCCUACCAAGGCGACGACGGGUA